rnacentral:lncRNA from 13 species
GUGUUUCUAUUGAAUGAAUGUGAAAUACAUUGUGGUUUUCAUGUGAAAUCAUCUAGUAAGACACGGUUAUUUGUGAAACAUUUUUGAAUUACGCUUUAGGUAAAGUGGAUUUAUGUUGUGUUACUUAAAGUGUGCACUUGUUUGAUGUGAAUGUCUUAAAAGUGUGAACAAGAAAAUAGACAAUUGAACAAGAGAGAAAACAAAACAUUCUUCAGAAUAAAGAAAGCAGCAGAACUUUGCAGACGUAAACUUGUGCCUGUUCGAUUUACUAUUACAGGCCAGACUGUAAUUGCCAUUGCGAUUGUAUGUUUCAGGAUCUGUGGAGAGGUAUUCACCAUGUGGUGAAUGAACACACAUGGACACUGGGACAUUGUGACUGCCUGGGGGACAACUACACCAAGGAAUGAAUCAAAAAUGCCUCUCCAGCACAUCAGGCUCUCACACACAUUGUCCUCAACACAAGGUGGCUGAAGGAUCUUCGUAAAUACCUGAACUUCAGAUCAACAGCUGAUCUUGAGUCCUACCAGAGCCAUAUUCUGCUGUACGCCAGCAAGAGUUUUUCCUUUUCACCACCAGUCUGAGGCCAGAACACUGCUGGCAGCACUAGACUACAACUUUCACAAGGACAGACCAGCCAGGCAGAACGCAGAUGGAACCAAGAUCAUACGGUUUGAGUGUCUACUCAUUAAAGACUAAGAAGACAUAUGGAUACAUUCCGGACCACCAAUGCAAGAUUUUGAGGAAGAGGCUGGAAUCUGGUGGCGAGAUGCCAAGGAGAAGAACCCCAAGGGCCAAAGACCCUAAAAGACUUGGACACCUACCCCUUAUUCUUCGGCCAACCACUGAGGGACUUGCGCAAUCACAAGUGAGAAGAGGCCUAGGACCUGUGGAUGACAACUCUGUUUCCUGCACCAAGGGCAACAUGCGGGGGUGACAAUCCUAUUUCCUGCACCAAGGCCACCAUGCGGGGGGGAUAGCUCUGUUUCCUGCACCAAGGGCAACAUGCGGGGGUGACCAUCCUGUUUCCUGUAACAAGGGCACCAUGCGGGCGGGGAUAGCUAUGUUUCCUGCACCAAGGGCACCAUGCUGCUACAUCACAAACUCACACCACUGCCAACACGUCAACUAUAUACUUCAUGUGCAAAUGUAAAUAUCCGUUGUCUAGGCAGUAAUGGGCGAAAUGUGGCAGCUGGCUUACACAGAGGUCUGGUCCCUGACCGUAACACUUCCUCUCUGUCUGAAGGUAUCUCCCUGCAGUUGCCACAGGUGCACUAAGUUGCAUGUGCGAGUGGUGGCUCACCAUUCCGUCACCGGUAAAUAUCUAGGACAUCAAAAAACAACCCUGGCUCUGGCUGAAACAUCAGCCUCACCACCUCCCUGUUGUCUGCAUCAUCCAGCUCUGAUGAGGAAUUUGUGAAUGAACAGAUGCACACAUAGCCUAUUAUCAGUAAGGCAGAAUGUGAUAUUUCUCAUAGAGUAUGAAUGGUCAAGGUCUACGAUUAAUUCAAAGCCAAUUCAAACACUACUUUUUAUUGCAAAUUGGAUAAUACUAGACCAUGUUUCUGUUGCUAGCUGUAAUUGUGUCAAACUAGCUUUGGUUUAUGAAACUUUAGCAAGGCUAGCAAGGGGACCGACAGAACACAUCAUGGACAUUUGACAAAUUGCACAACGUUGCCAUACGGUAUUACAAUACAAAUACUUUUGUGAGUUGAACGUUAUAAUGUCGAGUGAUGAGGUGAAAUACAUGUGUCCAGUGGUUAGCUAGUAGACUGCUGCUGUAGCUGUAUGAAAUGGCUGGCUAGCUAUGUCUAUGUUAACAAAUCCACACCUAUUAGAAUGAAAGGGAGAGAGCAUGCAAAGGGGAGUGACUUUAGGCUUGUUGAGAAAGGGGGCGGGGUGGGGAGGGGGGAAGAGUUGUUUGAAAAUAACACAGAACCCAAACUGGCUGCGCACGUGUGCCAUCGUGCAUACAAUUAUUUUGUCCCCCUAUACCAAAAGCAAUCACGACACGCAGGUUAAAAUAUCAAAACAAACUCUGAACCAAUUACAUUAACUUGGGAACAGGUCGAAAAGCAUUAAACAUUCAUGGCAAUUUAGCUAGUUAGCUUGCACUUGCUAGCUAAUUUGUCCUGUGAUAUAAACAUUGAGUUGUUAUUUUACCUGAAAUGCACAAGGUCCUCUACUCCGACAAUUAUUCCACACAUAAAACGGUCAACCGAAUCAUUUCCAGUCAUCUUUCCUCCUUCAAGUCUUUGAACUUAUAUGGUGAUUGGCAUCUAAACUUUCAUAGUAUUACUACACCGACCGGCAACACAGUUCAUCUUUCAAUUACCCACGUAGGUAUAACCAAUGAGGAGAUGGCAUGUGGGUACCUGCUUUUAUAAACCAAUGAGGAGAUGGCAUGUGGGUACCUGCUUCUAUAAACCAAUGAGGAGAUGGGAGAGGCAGGACUUGCAGCGGGAGCUGCGUCAGAAAUAGAAAGGAGUUCUAUUUUAGCCCAUGGCAAUGCAGAAGCUUGUUGACGCACGUGAGCAGUGUGGAUGCAAUAAUUGAAUAACAUAGAUUUCUACAUUUAUUUUGCAACUCUCGCGCAUGCGACGCGAGCGGUGUGGUCAGCCUAUAACUGUUGUUGUAAUACGCCGAGUUUCUAAGAUGUGGGAGAAAAUGAGGGAUAUCUCCUUUAAAAAACAAGUCAUUAGGUGUAGGCAGGGCCAUAAGCAAAUAGGUCAACUGGGAUAUGACUAAAGAGUUAAUCAGGGUCAUUUUUCCACAAAUAGACAGGUAUUUUCCUUUCCAUGGUAGUGUAAUGGGAAUUGUUAUGUUUGUGCUUUUCUUAUAACUACAGUGGCAAGAAGAAUUAUGUGAACCCUUUGGAAUUACUUCUGCAUAAAUUUGACAUACAAUUUGAUCUCAUCUUCAUCUAAGUCACAACAAUAGACAAACACAGUCUGCUUACACUAAUAACACACAAAUUAUUGUAUUUUUCUUGUCUAUAUUGAAUACAUCAUUUAAACAUUCACAGUAUAGGUUUGGAAAAGUAUGUGAACCCCUAGGCUAAUGACUUCUCCAAAAGCUGAUUGGAGUCAGGAGUCAACUAACCUGGAGUCGAAUCAAUGAGACGAGAUUGGAGAUGUUGGUUAGAGCUGCCCUGCUCCAUAUAAAAACACUAACAAAAAAUGUGUUAUUCACAAGAAGCAUUGCCUGAUAUGAACCAUGCCUUGAACAAAGACCUAAUAUUAAGAAUUGUUGCCUUGCAUGAAGCUGGAAAGGGUUACAAAAGUAUCUCUAAAAGACAGUCCACGGUAAGACAAAUUGUCUAUAAAUGUAGAGACUUCAGCACUGUUGCUACUCUCCCUUCCUGCAAAGACGACUGGAAGAGCACAGCGCAGAAUGCUCAAAGAGGUUAAGAAGAAUCCUAGUGUCAGCUAAAGACUUACAGAAAUCUCUGGAAGAUACUAACAUCUCUGUUGACGAGUUUACAAUAUGUAAAAAACUAAACAAGAAGGGUGUUCAUGGGAGGACACUAUGGAAGAAGCCACUGCUGUCCAAGAAAAAACAUUGCUGCACGUCUGAAGUUCACAAAAGAGCACCUGGAUGUUCCACAACGCUACUGGCAAAAUAUUCUGCGGACAGAUUAAACUAAAGUUGUGUUGUUUGGAAGGCGCAGCACACCAACAUCAAAACCUCGUCCCAACUGUAAACUAUGGUGGAGGGAGCAUCAUGGUUGGGGCUGCUUUGCUGCCUCAGGGCCUGGACAGCUUGCUAUCAUCGACAUAAAAAUUAAUUCCCAAGUUUAUCAAGAAUGUAAGGCUAUCUGUCCGCCAAUUGAAGCUCAACAGAAGUUAGGUGAUGCAACAGGACAACAACCCAACAGAAGUAAAACAACAACAGAAUGGCUUGAACAGAAGAAAAUAUGCAUUUUGGAUUGUCCCAGUCAGUCCCGACCUCAACCCGAUUGAGAUUCUGUGGCAUGAUCACGAGAGAGCUGUUCACACCGGACAUCCCAAGAAUAUUGUGGAACUGUAAAGAGGAAUGGUCCAAAAUUCCUCCUGACCAUUGUGCAGAUCUGAUCCACAACUACACAAAACAUUUCGUUAAGGUUAUUUCUGCCAAACGAGGGUAAACCUGUUAAUAAAUCCAAGGGUUCACAUACUUUUUCCAACCCUCACUCUGAAUGUUUGCAUGCUGUGUUCAGUAAAGACAUAACCAAUUAUAAUUGUUUGUGUGUUAUUAGUUUAGGCAUACUAUUUGUCUAUUGUUCUGACUUAGAUAAAGAUCAGAUAACAUUUUGUGACCAAUUUAUGCAGAAAUCCAUGUAAUUCUAAAGGACUCACAUACUUUUUCAUCCAACUGUAAUUCCUGUGUUCUAUUCAUGUGCUGUUCUAUAAACCAAUUUCUGUGUUCAUGCAAGUAGCUGACUGUACAAAUCCUCACUUAUCAGUAGCUGCAAUUGGGCAGUACGCCCAGACCAUGUUUUGAGAACAAGCAAACAAUAGCUCAGUAUCAAGGUCUCAGCUUAGAGAGGAGAAGAUUUGUGAGUUGUUGGUAAUGAUAAAUUAAUGAUGAUAAAUCAUGCAAAUAUAACUUACCUGUGUAUAGCCGUAUAUAGGACAACUGCUGGGUCUGUCCAGGAUAUAUCCUGAUUGACAUGUGUACUAUGGUGCAUUGAGUUGGUUGGAAACUCUCCAGUGCACUGACAAUAAAC